GGUGAAGAACGUAGCGAAAUGCGAUAAGUAGUGUGAAUUGCAGAAUUCAGUGAAUCAUCGAAUCUUUGAACGCACAUUGCGCCCCAUGGUAUUCCGUGGGGCAUGCCUGUUCGAGCGUCAUUUACCCCCUCAAGCUCCGCUUGGUGUUGGGCGUCUGUCCCGCUUCGCGCGCGGACUCGCCCCAAAGGUAUUGGCAGCGGUCGUGCCAGCUUCUCGCGCAGCACAUUGCGCUUCUCGAGGCACCGGUGGGCCCGCGUCCAUCAAGCUCACCCCCCCAGUUUGACCUCGGAUCAGGUAGGGAUACCCGCUGAACUUAAGCAUAUCAAUAAGCGGAGGA
rnacentral:misc_RNA from 1 species